AGAGUUUGAUCAUGGCUCAGNNNGAACGCUGGCGGCGUGCUUAACACAUGCAAGUCGUACGAGAAAGCUUCUGCUUGCAGAGGCGAGUAAAGUGGCGCACGGGUGAGUAACACGUGGGUAAUCUACCCUUGAAUUGGGGAUAACAUUGCGAAAGCGAUGCUAAUACCGAAUAAUAUCUCCGAAUCUUCGGGUUUGGAGAUCAAAGGUGGCCUCUUCAUGAAAGCUGCUGUUUGAGGAUGAGCCCGCGUCCCAUUAGCUUGUUGGUAGGGUAAUGGCCUACCAAGGCGACAAUGGGUAGCUGGUCUGAGAGGACGACCAGCCACACUGGAACUGACACACGGUCCAGACUCCUACGGGAGGCAGCAGUGAGGAAUUUUGCGCAAUGGGGGAAACCCUGACGCAGCAACGCCGCGUGAGUGAUGAAGGCCCUCGGGUCGUAAAGCUCUGUCAAGUGGGAAGAACCCGCAUAUGGCUAAUAUCCAUUUGCGUUGACGGUACCACUGAAGGAAGCACCGGCUAACUCCGUGCCAGCAGCCGCGGUAAUACGGGGGGGUGCAAGCGUUACUCGGAAUCAUUGGGCGUAAAGGGCGCGCAGGCGGCCUGGUAGGCCAGAUGUGAAAGCCCGGGGCUCAACCCCGGAAGUGCAUUUGAAACCACUUGGCUUGAGUAUGGGAGAGGGAAGUGGAAUUCCUGGUGUAGAGGUGAAAUUCGUAGAUAUCAGGAGGAACACCGGUGGCGAAGGCGGCUUCCUGGACCAAUACUGACGCUGAGGCGCGAAGGCGUGGGGAGCAAACAGGAUUAGAUACCCUAGUAGUCC
rnacentral:rRNA from 1 species